rnacentral:misc_RNA from 1 species
AGCAGCCGCGGUAAUUCCAGCUCCAAUAGCGUAUAUUAAAGUUGCUGCAGUUAAAAAGCUCGUAGUUGAAUUUCGGGAUCAAUAUGUUGGUCGUGCCUCGGUACGUACUAGCUUAUUGGUUUCUUCCUUCUGACGAACCAUAAUGUCAUUUAUUUGGUGUUAUGGGGAAUCAGGACUGUUACUUUGAAAAAUUAGAGUGUUUAAAGCAGGCUCACGCUUGAAUACAUUAGCAUGGAAUAAUGAAAUAGGACGUUUGAAUCUAUUUUGUUGGUUUCUAGGAUCGACGUAAUGAUUAAUAGGGAUAGUUGGGGGCAUUAGUAUUCAAUUGUCAGAGGUGAAAUUCUUGGAUUUAUUGAAGACUAACUACUGCGAAAGCAUUUGCCAAGGAUGUUUUCAUUAAUCAAGAACGAAAGUUAGGGGACCGAAGACGAUCAGAUACCGUCGUAGUCCUAACCAUAAACUAUGCCGACUAGGGAUCGGAUGAUGUUAAUUUUUAAUGACUCAUUCGGCGCCUUACGGG